AGUGGAUCUUUGGACACUAGACCUCACUAUGUAAGUUGUUGAUUGUGUUUCUUCCCAUAUUCAAAAUGAGGAAAACCGAUCAAUAAGCUUACAGAUUGUUCGACGAUAUGCCGAGUUGACUAGU
rnacentral:precursor_RNA from 14 species